GACGAACGCUGGCGGCGUGCUUAACACAUGCAAGUCGAACGGUGAAGCUCCAGCUUGCUGGAGUGGAUCAGUGGCGAACGGGUGAGUAACACGUGAGCAACCUGCCCCUGACUCUGGAAUAAGCGCUGGAAACGGCGUCUAAUACUGGAUACGAGAAGGGUCCGCAUGGGCACUUUCUGGAAAGUUUUUCGGUUGGGGAUGGGCUCGCGGCCUAUCAGCUUGUUGGUGAGGUAAUGGCUCACCAAGGCGACGACGGGUAGCCGGCCUGAGAGGGCGACCGGCCACCAUGCGACUGAGAGACGGCCCAGACUCCUACGGGAGGCAGCAGUGGGGAAUAUUGCACAAUGGGCGAAGGCCUGAUGCAGCGACGCCGCGUGAGGGAUGACGGCCUUCGGGUUGUAAACCUCUUUCAGCAGGGAAGAAGCGAAAGUGACGGUACCUGCAGAAGAAGCACCGGCUAACUACGUG
rnacentral:rRNA from 1 species